GACGGAGGAUGCAAGCGUUAUCCGGAAUGAUUGGGCGUAAAGCGUCCGCAGGUGGCAGUUCAAGUCUGCUGUCAAAGACCGGGGCUUAACUUCGGAAAGGCAGUGGAAACUGAACAGCUAGAGUAUGGUAGGGGCAGAGGGAAUUCCUGGUGUAGCGGUGAAAUGCGUAGAUAUUGGGAGGAACACCAGUGGCGAAGGCGGCUCACUGGACUGGUACUGACGCUGAUGCGCGAAAGCGUGGGGAGCGAACAGG
rnacentral:rRNA from 1 species